CGCUCACACACGUCUGACAGUGACAAGACAAGGGAUUUUUCUUGUUUUGACGUAUUUUCUAACCUCUUAGAAUGUUAUUAGAAGUCGUAAUAAAAUAAUUUGAAUAUAAAGCUAUGUUUUAAAGUAAAUAAAGACCAUAUUAACGAUGUUAACAUGAUGAGACAUCGAUUUUAUGGAAUGGAGGAGAAGAUUUAACAGCUAGAAAUUAACAAAAAUCCUGCAAGAGCAUCGAGAUCUCGCUUUUGGCGAGUGGAAGUCCAAAGGCAAAGUGCAGCGGUUUGCAGUUCUUAGCCUCACUUUUUUGGACCUAACAAGACAGGAAAAGAAUAGUCAAAGAGGAAACCCGAGUAGCCAGAUGAUAAUAUAUGAAACCAUGAGCAGCCAGCCAUUGAAACUCUCAGCAAUUUGAAUAACAAUUUUGAUUAUUACCAAUCAUGUAUCAUACCUAUUAAUAGAAAAUUAAAACUGUUAGGUACCUAUGUUUUAAUUGAAAUUCAAAAUAUUGUUUAAUGUUUUAUAAGUAUUUAUUAAAUAAAUUGUCAC